UACGGAGGGGGCGAGCGUUAUUCGGAAUUAUUGGGCGUAAAGGGCGCGUAGGCGGCUUGGCAAGUCAAAGGUGAAAUCCCUCGGCUCAACUGAGGAACUGCCUUUGAAACUGCCUGGCUUGAGGCCGGGAGGGGGUAGCGGAAUUCCCAGUGUAGCGGUGAAAUGCGUAGAUAUUGGGAGGAACACCAGUGGCGAAGGCGGCUACCUGGACCGGUUCUGACGCUGAUGCGCGAAAGCGUGGGUAGCAAACGAGG
rnacentral:rRNA from 1 species